CCCGCUGAACUUAAGCAUAUCAAUAAGCGGAGGAAAAGAAACUAACAAGGAUUCCCCUAGUAACUGCGAGUGAAGCGGGAAGAGCUCAAAUUUAAAAUCUGGCGGUCUCGCGGCCGUCCGAGUUGUAAUCUGGAGAAGCGUUUUCCGCGUCGGACCGUGUACAAGUCUUCUGGAACGGAGCGUCGUAGAGGGUGAGAAUCCCGUCUCUGACACGGACAGCCGAUGCUUCAUGUGAUACGCUCUCGAAGAGUCGAGUUGUUUGGGAAUGCAGCUCAAAAUGGGUGGUAAAUUCCAUCUAAAGCUAAAUAUUGGCGAGAGACCGAUAGCGAACAAGUACCGUGAGGGAAAGAUGAAAAGCACUUUGGAAAGAGAGUUAAACAGUACGUGAAAUUGUUGAAAGGGAAACGUUUGAAGUCAGUCGUGUCGUCCAGGGAUCAACCUUGCUUUUGCCUGGUGCACUUCCUGGUUUGACGGGUCAGCAUCAAUUUUGAUCAUUGGAAAAAGGCUAAGGGAAUGUGGCAUCUUUGGAUGUGUUAUAGCCCUUGGUCACAUACAAUGGUUGGGAUUGAGGAACUCAGCACGCCGCAAGGCCGGGUUUUAAACCACGUACGUGCUUAGGAUGCUGGCAAUAUGGCUUUAAUCGACCCGUCUUGAAACACGG
rnacentral:rRNA from 1 species